CCGCGGUAAUACGGAGGGUGCAAACGUUGCUCGGAAUCAUUGGGCGUAAAGGGCGCGUAGGCGGCAAGCCAAGCGUGCGGUGAAAGUCCGGGGCUCAACCCCGGAUCUGCCGUGCGGACUGGUUUGCUCGAGCACUGUAGAGGCGAGUGGAAUUCCGGGUGUAGCGGUGGAAUGCGUAGAGAUCCGGAAGAACACCGGUGGCGAAGGCGGCUCGCUGGGCAGUGGCUGACGCUGAGGCGCGACAGCGUGGGGAGCAAACAGG
rnacentral:rRNA from 1 species